CCCCCACCACCCCAGUGUCUGUGUCCAUUAGUUACGCUAAUAUACCCACUGAGCCGUCAAGAAAGGGCAAAGUAAAAACACCGCUUUUGGGUGAAGCAGCAGCAUGUUGUGUUGUUUUGCUUCAAUUGGUGGUGUGACAAGG